rnacentral:rRNA from 1 species
AACGAACGCUGGCGGCGUGCCUAACACAUGCAAGUCGAACGGAAUUAAGGGGCUUGCUCCUUAAUUUAGUGGCGCACGGGUGAGUAACGCGUGGAUAAUCUGCCUGAUGCUCUGGGAUAACAUCUCGAAAGGGGUGCUAAUACCGGGUAAGCCCACGGGGUCUUCGGAUCUUGCGGGAAAAGGAGGGGACCUUCGGGCCUUCCGACAUCAGAUGAGUCCGCGUCCCAUUAGCUAGUUGGUGGGGUAAAGGCCUACCAAGGCGACGAUGGGUAGCUGGUCUGAGAGGAUGAUCAGCCACACUGGAACUGAGACACGGUCCAGACUCCUACGGGAGGCAGCAGUGGGGAAUUUUGCGCAAUGGGGGAAACCCUGACGCAGCAACGCCGCGUGAGUGAUGAAGGCCUUCGGGUCGUAAAGCUCUGUCAGAGGGAAAGAAAUGUGGGCGGCUAAUAUCCGUUCCACUUGACGGUACCCUCAAAGGAAGCACCGGCUAACUCCGUGCCAGCAGCCGCGGUAAUACGGAGGGUGCGAGCGUUGUUCGGAAUUAUUGGGCGUAAAGCGCGUGUAGGCGGUUUAUUAAGUCAGAUGUGAAAGCCCUGGGCUCAACCUGGGAAGUGCAUUGGAUACUGGU